CUGAACGCUAGUCUUUCUGGGAAGCUACAGAGUGGAUGAAACCUAGCUUUCCAUCAUCUCAAUUCUCUCCAAGACCCUGAACUUCCAAGCUCUGAGAGUCUGUCUUCCUCUCAUGUGGCCUGGGCAGUCAUCUGAUGCUCUCCGAAUCUCUGAGGAUGAUUUCAGUCCAGGCUGCAUCCAGGAUGCUGUGAAGUCGAAUGAGAGAAUGUUUGGCAAGAGCAUCAGCUGCCGCAGGAGCUGGGACCCAGAAGCGAAGAGCCUGGGGAAUCUGGGUCAGGGGCCCAGGCACCACGAGGAGGGUCCAUUCCUCACAUUGGGCUUCGUAGGUGAGUCUGCGGCAGGAAUCCACCAGAGUCCCUCUCCUGCUCACUCCUGUGAACAUCGAGAUCCCAUGUGAAGGAAGGGGUGUGACAUGCUUAGGGCCCCGCCUGCUCCUCACUGUCCUGUGUGUCUGUGAUGUGUCCUUCUGUAAUGGCAGCCUCCCUGUCGACAAAGUCCCUGGUUCUUUCUGGAGGCAUCGUUUUGGUUAAAUAUGGAAGAGGACAGAGAGGGGCUGAUGGCUUUGCUACAGGCCGGGACGCCUGUUGUGGCAGCUUUGAUGAUGGUGUCUGGUCUCAUGUGUGCGAGGCUCAUGCUGCCUUGAGUGAGAUGAUGGCCCAGCAUGGCUUUGGAGAUGGGGAGCCAUUAUGAAGCAAGAUAGGAGAGCUGAGGUCAGAGCAGGCACAACAUAAGCUCUUAAAGAGAAAGAUCACUUCUCACCUGCCGCACCACCCCAGUCUGAGCCACUGCUGUUUUGCUCCAGGCCUGUAGGACCGCGGCUGGCCCAUCUCCCUGUUCCACCCUCAUACCUCAGCAUCUGCCCCCUGCACUUGGAUCUGACUCACUCCUUUUCUUCCUCCCUUGCUCCUUCUGCUUCCCCACUCAGUCUCCUUGGGCACAUCAAGUGGGUUGCAGCCUACCUCAGACCCUUUGCACUUGCAGUUCUCAGUCUAGUUGCCCCUUUCUCCUAUUUAUUCAGGGAUCUGUUCAAAUGUCAUCUCCUCAGUCUUUCUCUGACCACUCCAUCUUUCAAAAUCAGAUCCCCUGUCACCAUUAUAUCCCCAGAGCCUAGAAAGAUGCCUGGCUGCCAGUUAUAUUUAAUAAAUAUUUGUUGAAUGAAUGAAAACAUGAAUGAAUGACGUACGGGAGCUGGAGGGGCGUGAAAAUCUGAGGCUCCCAGGUGGCUUUGGGAAGGAGAACGGGGACCCCAGCAUUUACCUGGCUGUUCUCUGGAUCCUGAGGAGGCAGCUGGGGUCAUGAGGAGCAAGGUGAGGAUUGGGGGCGUGGGGUGGCCGGGCCAUCGUGGCCAGCCCCCCUGCUCUCCCUGGGGCCCUGCUAGACGAGUUUCUGCUCACUGUGCCCCUUCGCUUCAUGCUUAUUUCAUUUCUACCCCUGCCGUCCCGCCACAGAGCUAAUGCUUAAUGACAGGCCUGUAAUUACACUGACAUCUGAGCCACAAUUGUCCCUUGACGUCGGCUCUGAGAGUCCAAGGCUGGGUCUCCAUCCCAGUCUGACACUGGCAGCCUCUCCCUGGACGUCUUGCUCAGGGUCUUGAUUUCCUGUAAAGCAGCUUGCUUCUCAGGAUCCUGAGUGAUCCGAAAGGAGCCAGGUGGACAUCUUGCCUGGGAUGACACGGGACAGACAGGGCACACCUUUCAGCUGGUGGCAGCGUGUCACGUUGAGAAUGGCUAAGUGAGGAGCCCCGGCUGGGACGUCGCCUCCCAGGUCUCAAUUUUCUCCUUCAUAAACCCUCAAAGAGUUGGGCAAGAUGAGUAGCUUUUAUAUUAGGUUUGGAUCACCCUGGGAAAUGCAAAUGACAUUACUUGGGUUUUACAUGGAAUCAGAGAGGGAUGACCGUGGACAUCCUCUGGUCGAGAGUUGCUCGCUGGGGUGGGAGGAUGGCUUCUGGGUGGAGCAAAGGGCAGAAGGCUCAGCGCCCUCCACCCACUUCACCAGAGAAGCCCCGCCUUCUUUUUCAUCAUCCGUAUUAUGUCACAGUUAAGAUUUCACUUGAAGAAAGACUUCUUUACUAACAUGUGAGAAAUGCCAGAGCAGAUGGCUCCCGAGUUCCCCUCUGGUGGCACUCGGUGUCUGUUUUCUUAAGAGCAGGUGUCAUUAGACUCUUUAGUUUUGUUCCACUGAGUGAUGUCCACAACAGCUGCUCAUGGUGUGCCCUGAGAGCAGGUUGAUGCGGGUGGGCAGUGUGUCCCUCCAGGACAAGCCUGUUCCUGUGCCUGCACCCACGCAUUGCUGACCAGCCUCAGCAUGAAGAAGCAUUGCAGUGCCAGGAGGCAUGACAAGGACAUCAGGGAUCUGGGGGCUCUUGUGUCAACCCCAAGGGUUGGAUCAACUCCCUGACCCUGGAAGCCUGCUCCUCUUCCUCCUGCAGAUGCCUGAUAGCAGCAGGUAGCAAGGGAUCCUUGGGUGCCCCUGCUCCAUGGCAGCCCUUCCCCAGGUAAGGGACAGACGGUGUUUUGUCUGAGUGACAGCUCACUCAAAUGGGAAUGAGUCCUCGGGUCUUAUCCAGAGCUGAGGAAGAUUCAUUAUCCCCUGAUCCUACAUAAGACCCUUUCCAUCUCGCUGAUGAGCCCAGGGUCCUGCCUCCAUGGGGAUGCUACAGCUGCCGCUCAGAAGGGAGUCAGUGCCACCUGGAACCAAGGGGGGGGGCAGAGGGGACCCCAGGAAGAAAACUAAGAGUCACGAUGCAGUGUAAUGUGCCAUAUAAAAUUUUUUGUUUCACUAAGGGGACAGGAACCCUGAAGGCAGCCCUCCUAGGAAUGGGGGAUCUCAGGGAGUGCAUCUAGAAUCCCUGUGGCUUAACCAACGAGAACAUGUGUAUUCUUGUCACAUAGGGAAAGUCCAGAGUCAGGGCCACCCACAGCUGUGAAGGAGCAAAGGCAGGAGGUGAACCUGGGGCAGGUCUGUGACCCUGCUGUGUAGGGGGAGCCCAGGGAGCCUUUCUCAGUCACCUGACCCAGCAAAGUCCUCCAUCUCGGUCUCAGUGGGCUAGGGCCGGUGGAUCUCUGUGGCAGUCAGGCCAGCUGAGAGGGUAGGCUCGGGCUGCUGGCCUGGACCACUGGCUGGGGUGCUGCAUGCGGGGAGGAAAGGCAGCCUUCAAAGAAGAGUGGGGUGCAUGCAGAGGCCUGGGUUCAAAGGGAUGUCCCAUCUGAAUCAGUGGGGGCAAGUGCACUGUUGGGACAACAGAUGGAGGAUCAUCAGCAGGGCAGGGCAGGGCCUUAUGCCUUCAAAGAACAGGAAAGAGGAAAAUGAAUUCCACAGAAGGGCAGGCGUUCACUAUCCAUCAUGUCUUUGAUACUUACAGCAAACUUGUCAAUUAACAGAAGAUGAGAGAGAGAGAGAGAGAGAGAGAGAGAGAGAGAGAGAGAGAGAGAG